rnacentral:rRNA from 1 species
UACGAAGGGGGCUAGCGUUGCUCGGAAUUACUGGGCGUAAAGCGCACGUAGGCGGAUUGUUAAGUCGGGGGUGAAAUCCCGAGGCUCAACCUCGGAACUGCCUUCGAUACUGGCGAUCUUCGAGUCCGGGAGAGGUGAGUGGAACUCCGAGUGUAGAGGUGAAAUUCGUAGAUAUUCGGAAGAACACCAGUGGCGAAGGCGGCUCACUGGCCCGGUACUGACGCUGAGAUACGAAAGCGUGGGGAGCAAACAGG